AACGAACGCUGGCGGCGUGCCUAAGACAUGCAAGUCGUGCGGAAAGGCUCCUUCGGGAGUACUCGAGCGGCGCACGGGUGAGUAACACGUGGGUAAUCUACCUGAGGGUCUGGGAUAACUCCGGGAAACUGGGGCUAAUACCGGAUGAGACCACGGCGUCUUCGGACGCAGCGGUCAAAGAUGGCCUCUCCUUGGAAGCUAUCGCCCGCAGAUGAGCCCGCGUCCCAUUAGCUAGUUGGCGGGGUAACGGCCCACCAAGGCGACGAUGGGUAGCUGGUCUGAGAGGAUGAUCAGCCACACUGGAACUGAGACACGGUCCAGACUCCUACGGGAGGCUG
rnacentral:rRNA from 1 species